rnacentral:rRNA from 1 species
GACGAACGCUGGCGGCGUGCCUAAUACAUGCAAGUCGAACGGUCUUUUCUAUGGAAGCUUGCUUCCACUGAGAAGAUAGUGGCGAACGGGUGAGUAACACGUGGGUAACCUGCCCAUAAGAGGGGGAUAACAUCCGGAAACGGGUGCUAAUACCGCUUAGGCUUCUUGAUCGCAUGAUCGAGAAAGGAAAGACGGCCUUUGUGCUGUCGCUUAUGGAUGGACCCGCGGCGUAUUAGUUAGUUGGUGAGGUAACGGCUCACCAAGACGAUGAUACGUAGCCGACCUGAGAGGGUGAUCGGCCACAUUGGGACUGAGACACGGCCCAAACUCCUACGGGAGGCAGCAGUAGGGAAUCUUCCGCAAUGGACGAAAGUCUGACGGAGCAACGCCGCGUGAGUGAAGAAGGUUUUCGGAUCGUAAAACUCUGUUGUCAGAGAAGAACAAGUCGGAGAGUAACUGCUCCGGCCUUGACGGUAUCUGACCAGAAAGCCACGGCUAACUACGUGCCAGCCGCCGCGGUAAGAC